GGGCUUGGGUGGUUGUCUUCCUGGUAGCCUGGGCGCCAUGGCGCUGCCCUGGUUGCAGCGAGUUGAGCUCUUGCUCUUCACUGCCGCCUUCCUGUGCGGGGCUUUGGCGGCCGCGACGCUGACCCGGACCCAGCUGCUCUGAAGCCCAGAAAACCUCAUGGACACCUUCAGGAACUGCUGUGCAGUUUUACUCCAACCUACAUACUGCUGAAACCUCUUCUUGGGUGAAUCUGAUAUUGUGGUGUCUGGCUUUGCUGCUCCAGGCCAUGCAGUGCAAGUUUAAAGCCACAUCAUACCAGCCCCAAGAGAGGGGUGACCAAGAGUGGAGCUCUGAGACAGAUGCUCUUGUUGGGCACCACCAGUCUCACUCCUGAAGAAUACUCAAGUGCUUUCUACAACCAGAACCUCCAUGCCCCAGUGCUUUUAAUCCUCUUGUCUCUGUACAGCCCUGUUUAUAUUAGAAACCUCAGUUUUCUCCUUAAACUUUUUUGUACCAAAAUAAUAUAUUACUUUUCUUCAUCAUGG
rnacentral:lncRNA from 1 species